rnacentral:rRNA from 1 species
CGGUAAUACGUAGGAGGCGAGCGUUAUCCGGAUUUACUGGGUGUAAAGCGCGUGCAGGCGGACGAGUAAGUUGGAUGUGAAAGCUCCCGGCUUAACUGGGAGAGGUCGUUCAAGACUGCUGGUCUAGAGCGUGGUAGGGGAAGGCGGAAUUCCGGGUGUAGUGGUGAAAUGCGUAGAUAUCCGGAGGAACACCAGUGGCGAAGGCGGCCUUCUGGGCCACGACUGACACUCAGACGCGAAAGCUAGGGGAGCAAACGGGAUUAGAGACCCCGGUAGUCCUAGCCGUAAACGAUGUGAACUUGGCGCCGGAUGGGUAAAACCAAUCGGUGCCGUAGCUAACGCGAUAAGUUCACCACCUGGGGACUACGGCCGCAAGGUUAAA